rnacentral:rRNA from 1 species
UACAGAGGUCCCGAGCGUUGUUCGGAUUCACUGGGCGUAAAGGGUGCGUAGGUGGCGAGGUAAGUCGGAUGUGAAAGCUCGGAGCUCAACUCCGAAAUGGCAUUGGAAACUACCUUGCUCGAGGGUUGGAGGGGGGACUGGAAUACUUGGUGUAGCAGUGAAAUGCGUAGAUAUCAAGUGGAACACCAGUGGCGAAGGCGAGUCCCUGGGCAACUCCUGACACUGAGGCACGAAAGCUAGGGGAGCAAACAGG